UGGGUGACAUAGUAAGACUCUGUCUCUGCAAAAAAUACAAGAUUAGCUGGGUGUGUUGGUACAUGCCUCUAAUCCCAGCUACUUGGGAGGCUGAGGUGGGAGGAUCUUUUGAGCCUGGGAGAUUGAGGCUGCAAUGAGUCAUGAUUGUACCACUGCACUCCAGCCUGGGUGACAAAGCAAGAACGUGUCUCAAAGAAAGAAAAAAAAUCCACAAACAUAACAGCAGUAAUUACAAAAUUUAUCACUAAACCUAACCGUUAUUAUUAUGAAUUCGAUUUACUUCAUCAUUGUAAAUUGACUUACCUAACUAUGGGGCACAUACAUGCAUAUAUAUGUUUAUAUAUAUGUUAUAUAUGUUUAUGUGUGUGUGUGUAUAUAUAUAUAUGAUCACGGGCAGGCUAGAGAUCCCAAACUGCUUUAUAGAUCACUGGUUAGAGAUGAUACCUCAGUCAAAAUUAGAUGUUACUUCCAAGACCAUUCUAUCAAAGAAAUAAAUGAAACCAUGGAGUUCUUAUUGGGACUUCAGCUUGUUCUAUUUAUUUUCAAAAUUAUCUAUUGCUUUAUAAUAAACUCCCCCAAGACUUAGUGGCUUAAAAAAACCAUCAUUUUAUACCUGAUGUAUUUUGAGUCAGAAAUUCAAGCAGAUAUUGAAUAGGUGAUUCGUUUGCUCCAUAAACCUUUAACUAGAAGGUAAUUUGGUGGCAUUCAGCCGGUGGCUGGGUUGUGUUGGGGAGUCCAAAACAGUGUAACUCAUUUGUCUGGUGUCUUCCUGUGGAUGACAAGGAGGCUGGGCUUAGGUAGGUUCCUUUUCACAUACUCUCUCCUGCAGAGUAGUUAAACUCACAUGGCUGCUCAGGGAUCCAAAAGGGAGCAUUUCAGGAAGCCCAAUAGAAGCCCUUCAG
rnacentral:lncRNA from 1 species